rnacentral:rRNA from 1 species
AGAGUUUGAUCAUGGCUCAGAUUGAACGCUGGCGGCAGGCCUAACACAUGCAAGUCGAGCGGUAGCACAGAGAGCUUGCUCUCGGGUGACGAGCGGCGGACGGGUGAGUAAUGUCUGGGAAACUGCCUGAUGGAGGGGGAUAACUACUGGAAACGGUAGCUAAUACCGCAUAACGUCGCAAGACCAAAGUGGGGGACCUUCGGGCCUCAUGCCAUCAGAUGUGCCCAGAUGGGAUUAGCUAGUAGGUGGGGUAACGGCUCACCUAGGCGACGAUCCCUAGCUGGUCUGAGAGGAUGACCAGCCACACUGGAACUGAGACACGGUCCAGACUCCUACGGGAGGCAGCAGUGGGGAAUAUUGCACAAUGGGCGCAAGCCUGAUGCAGCCAUGCCGCGUGUGUGAAGAAGGCCUUCGGGUUGUAAAGCACUUUCAGCGGGGAGGAAGGCGNCGAUUGACGUUACCCGCAGAAGAAGCACCGGCUAACUCCGUGCCAGCAGCCGCGGUAAUACGGAGGGUGCAAGCGUUAAUCGGAAUUACUGGGCGUAAAGCGCACGCAGGCGGUCUGUCAAGUCGGAUGUGAAAUCCCCGGGCUCAACCUGGGAACUGCAUUCGAAACUGGCAGGCUAGAGUCUUGUAGAGGGGGGUAGAAUUCCAGGUGUAGCGGUGAAAUGCGUAGAGAUCUGGAGGAAUACCGGUGGCGAAGGCGGCCCCCUGGACAAAGACUGACGCUCAGGUGCGAAAGCGUGGGGAGCAAACAGGAUUAGAUACCCUGGUAGUCCACGCCGUAAACGAUGUCGAUUUGGAGGUUGUGCCCUUGAGGCGUGGCUUCCGGAGCUAACGCGUUAAAUCGACCGCCUGGGGAGUACGGCCGCAAGGUUAAAACUCAAAUGAAUUGACGGGGGCCCGCACAAGCGGUGGAGCAUGUGGUUUAAUUCGAUGCAACGCGAAGAACCUUACCUGGUCUUGACAUCCACAGAACUUUCCAGAGAUGGAUUGGUGCCUUCGGGAACUGUGAGACAGGUGCUGCAUGGCUGUCGUCAGCUCGUGUUGUGAAAUGUUGGGUUAAGUCCCGCAACGAGCGCAACCCUUAUCCUUUGUUGCCAGCGGUCCGGCCGGGAACUCAAAGGAGACUGCCAGUGAUAAACUGGAGGAAGGUGGGGAUGACGUCAAGUCAUCAUGGCCCUUACGACCAGGGCUACACACGUGCUACAAUGGCAUAUACAAAGAGAAGCGACCUCGCGAGAGCAAGCGGACCUCAUAAAGUAUGUCGUAGUCCGGAUUGGAGUCUGCAACUCGACUCCAUGAAGUCGGAAUCGCUAGUAAUCGUAGAUCAGAAUGCUACGGUGAAUACGUUCCCGGGCCUUGUACACACCGCCCGUCACACCAUGGGAGUGGGUUGCAAAAGAAGUAGGUAGCUUAACCUUCGGGAGGGCGCUUACCACUUUGUGAUUCAUGACUGGGGUGAAGUCGUAACAAGGUAACCGUAGGGGAACCUGCGGUUG